rnacentral:rRNA from 1 species
AUACGGAGGAUCCGAGCGUUAUCCGGAUUUAUUGGGUUUAAAGGGUGCGCAGGCGGGAGAUUAAGUCGGCGGUGAAAUUUUGCAGCUCAAAUGUAAAAGUGCCUUCGAAACUGGUUUCCUUGAGUGUAGAUGAAGUAGGCGGAAUUUGUGGUGUAGCGGUGAAAUGCAUAGAUAUCACGAGGAACUCCGAUUGCGCAGGCAGCUUACUAGGCCAUAACUGACGCUCAGGCACGAAGGCGUGGGGAUCAAACAGGAUUAGAUACCCUGGUAGUCCACGCAGUAAACGAUGAUUACUCGCUGUUUGCGAUACACAGUAAGCGGCUUAGCGAAAGCGUUAAGUAAUCCACCUGGGGAGUACGUUCGCAAGAAUGAAACUCAAAUGAAUUGACGGGG